rnacentral:misc_RNA from 1 species
GGGUUCUAUCAAUUUGGCAAAUUUCACCCAAUUGUUUAGAGAAUGAAAUAGAUUGAUACCAUAAUAAUACCAUCUUUAACGUACAAGCAUGCAAUGCUUUUGGCAAAAUCAGUCAAAAUAUGAACAUUUGCACAUGUAAAGCAAUUUAUCAGCAGAUGCAUCUUGUAUUCUCAUGGAAGCUUUGACAAUUGACAAGAAAACCCUCACAACUGGAAGAAAUGAGCACAACUGUGUGGAAAUUACAUGGACAAAUAUAUUAUAGACUAUACCGAAACUGAAGACCAUGUUAGCACUUAGAUGAACAACUAUUUUACAUUCAUUACGAAAAUAAUAGAAAUAUACUUUCAGGCACAUCUUGAGUUGGAUUAUGAACUUGGCUAAUGCUUGGCAAAAGCAGAAGCCCAAUUGACAACGCAACAAGCAAAAACAUUCUAAAAUAGAAAAUAAUAUAAAAGAAAUAGGAUGCCACAGAUAAAGGGAUGUUCGCGAGAAUAUUCU